rnacentral:rRNA from 1 species
UACGUAGGGGGCAAGCGUUGUCCGGAAUCAUUGGGCGUAAAGCGCGUGUAGGCGGCCCGGUAAGUCCGCUGUGAAAGUCCAGGGCUCAACCCUGGGAUGCCGGUGGAUACUGUCGGGCUCGAGUCCGGAAGAGGAGUGUGGAAUUCCUGGUGUAGCGGUGAAAUGCGCAGAUAUCAGGAAGAACACCCGUGGCGAAGGCGGUUCUCUGGGACGGUACUGACGCUGAGACGCGAAAGCGUGGGGAGCGAACAGG